GCACGAAUGGCUCAGUGGUAGAGCACUGCCUUGCCAAGGCGGGGGUCGCGGGUUCAAAUCCCGUUUCGUGCU
rnacentral:tRNA from 1 species